AGUUCUGCAUUUUCUUUGAUAAGAACAUCUUUAUCCUUAACUAAUGAAUCAUACUUACGGAGAUGAGUUUGGUUAGUUACUUUUAGUUCUUUAUUUUUAAUGUUUAUCAUUUUGUAUUCAUCCAUUAAUUCAUUGAAAGCAUCAUACAGUUCAUCGAAAGUAAAAUCUAAAUGUGGUGCGGAUGUUACCUCAUUUUCAUUGGCCAUGAAGCAGAAGUUGGCCUUUUCUACUUGUUCCUCAUCCGAUGAGGAUGAUGAUGUGUCGGAGUCCGAUAGGGUGGUGACAAGGGCUUUCUUCUUCUUGUACUUGCUCUCCUUCUUUAGUAGAGGACACUCAGCUCUGAUGUGUCCCGGCUUCUUGCACUCAUAGCAUCCAAUCCCCUCAUUUUCCCUUUCCUUACCUUUAUCCUUCCGAUAGGAAUUUGAGGGGCCUCUCCUCUGAUGAAAGGUCUUCUUUUGAUUGAUGAAUCUUCUGAAUUUGCGCACGAGAAGACCCUCAUCAUCGUCUCCCUCAUGAUUCUCUUCUUCACUGCUGCUACUGCAAGACAAGUACUUAUUAGAUGAUGUAGAUUUAAGAGCUAUUACCUUUUUCUAUGGGAGGACUCUUCUUCGCUGUGCUGCUUCAUUGUCAGCUCAUGCGUCAUUAGGGAUCCAAGAAGCUCUUC
rnacentral:lncRNA from 1 species